GAAUUUGAGUACAUACGUGGCCACUGAAAGACAGAGACACGUGUAGCACCAUGAUCUUCUUUUAAAUACAGAAGCAUCGCACACUGGUUCACAACCAUAUUCUGUUUCUCUUCAGAGUCAUCUUCUCAGACUGACGGUUGCUCAAAUUCAAUCCUUCAAAGAAGAAGCAGGUGAAGAUGGGUUUUGAGCUGGUUAUAUCUCUACCGGUGAUAUUGUUCAUCAUAAUUGUGGCUCUUGCAUGUUACCUUCUGGGUAGACAGAGAGGCAGAGGUUAAGCCAAAUGAGCUCGGCAGCUUUCUGGGCCUCCUGCUUCUACUCAAAUCCAGCUACCGCCACCAGCAACAGCUCCUGAUCAGGGCAAACCCUCGCAGUCACACACUCAGGUUUAGAAUUGUACAAGCUACGGAUGGCUAUGUUUUUAAACAUUUCAUUGCAUCAUACGUUAUUAAAUUAUUCCACCCAAUAAAAAAGAAUCAACUUUAGCUUGUAAAUUCCUGAUAAAUAAUGGCUUGCCAGUUUCAAUUUAA